GCUGGCAGCUAGCUCUCUGCAACUCUCACAUAGUCGUCCACUGAAGCUAAGGAGGCCUGAGCCUGGUCAGUACCUGGAUGGCAGACCACAUGGGAAAGCUAGGUUGCUGUUGGAA
rnacentral:rRNA from 1 species